rnacentral:rRNA from 1 species
UACGGGGGGGGCAAGCGUUGCUCGGAAUUACUGGGCGUAAAGGGUUUGUAGGUGGCCGGCUAAGUCAGACGUGAAAUCCCUCAGCUUAACUGGGGAACUGCGUCUGAAACUGAUCGGCUCGAGUGCAGGAGAGGAACGCGGAAUUCCAGGUGUAGCGGUGAAAUGCGUAGAUAUCUGGAGGAACACCGGUGGCGAAGGCGGCGUUCUGGACUGCAACUGACACUGUAAAACGAGAGCCAGGGGAGCAAACGGG